UUUUUUGUAUCGUUUCAUGUUUUUGAAUGAGAAAUUUGUACUAAAAAAGUAUUGUUCAAUACAUGAAAACUUCUUAGGUGUUACAGAAGUAUUGUUCAUAUUUUCUGCCCAUCACAGAAAUGAAAAAUUAUACAGUUAAUUCUCCAAUAACCCAGCACACACAAACUAAGAUUACACAACAUAGACAAAUGGUAUUACAGCCCAGAUAAAAUGGUAUUACAAAAAAUAGUAUAUUCAACACUAAAACAAGUAAUCACGUCAUACGAAAGCGUGGCUCCAUUGUCUUCCUCUUCUAAAAUUCUGAGAAGCAUCCUGACAUUAGAAAGAACAACACAUGAGUAGCAGAUAAUGCAUAUAUGACAGGAAAUAUGAAAAAUGCAACAAGUUGAGAGUAGAACGCAAACAACAUAUAAGCAAUUCAUGGAUGUAAGUAGUGAUCAUUUUAGGGGGCCUUAUGUGGAUGCACAACCCAACUUUGGGAUCUAUCUGGUCAAAAGUUUACAUGUACGAUCCACAAUAUUACGUACAACAAAAAUAUGUACAGGUUUUAGCUUAUGACAUGUACGGAUACAACAGACUUUACUUGACAUAUGCGUUGCUUAAUAGAAAAAAAAGUUGCAAAAGAGGUGUGCACGCAUAUGGGUUUCCUAGAAUAAAAGCUAUAUGUAUUAGUAUCAGACUCCAAUUUGACUCUGGCAGGAUGCAGCUUAUAUUAACGCAAUAGAUUCAGAAAAGUUGCAAAAGAGGUGCACGUGUAUGUGUUGCCUAGAAAAAACUAUAAAGAUUAGUAUCAGACUGCAAUUAGGCUCCAUCUUGGUGCAAUUCUUUUUAUACUUUACUUGGUAUAUGUGUUGCUUAGAAGAAAAAAACUGCCAAAAAGGUGUGCAUGCAUAUGAGUUUUCUAGAUAAUAAAAAGCUAUAUGUAUUGUAUCACACUCUAAUUAGGCUCUAUUUGGGUGCAACUUAUAUUAAUACAAAAGAUUAAAGCUGCAACAGAGAUGUGCACGGACAUGUAUUACCUAGAAAAAAGGCUAUAUAUAUUAGUUGUGGACUCCAAUUAGGCUCCGGCUUGGUGCAUUUUUUUUUAGAAUCGGUGCAGCAUAUAUUAAGACAAAAUAUUUAGUCUAUAAAAAACAUAUUUGGAAAAUAAGAAGUAAUAAAAGAUAGCGCUCACGUGUAUAUAACAAACAGUGGACCUUGGGAAAACUAUGGAUUUAGAGAAGGAUCAAGAUUACAUGGUGGAAAGCUUCACGUAAAAACAAUAGGUGUGGGCGAAUAAAUGUUUCAGGCCAACAAAUCUGCCAAAUCAUGUGUUUUUUAUGUUAUCUGUAAAAGUGGACCUAACAGCCUAUGGAAGUAUCAUAAUUAAUAUAUGAAAUAUUUGAAAAAAUAUACAUAAAAAUAGAAUAAAUCUAGUCGCCCAAGGUAGGAUGUGCCUUAUCACAUGAGUAUGUGUCUUAUCACAUGAAGAAUUUGACAUGCCACUUAAGCAUGAUAGAAGGUGAAUAUAUAUAGGACUCAUGUAUUAUGAACAUAUAGGCAACAAUUACUCCAAAACAGUAUGGGGCAAUGGAAAGAUAUGGCGCACAUGACUAUAUAGAAUGCACAGUGUACAUGAGAGAAGCCAGAUAUGCUUUUUCUCAGAUAUACUCACCAAAUGUCUUAUAAGGUAUGAAUCAACCCAGAUAACUCAAGAUUUAUUCAAAGUCAACAUGGUUGAGCUAGAUGAUAUGUUGCCAUAUUCAAGAAGUACUUACCAUCAUCCUAUUCAUCGACAACAGAGUUUAGUUGCUCUCCUCAUGGUCCUUCCAGUCUAGCUUCUCUAGGCACAGCAGAUGAGCUAGUUUCCUAUGACAUCAAGGAAAAUUAGGGAACAAUAUGAGAACUGCCGAGCAGACAGGGAAACCUCACUUGUUGGUGUAGGGACCAUGUUGUGCUUGUCGGACCUCCCCGUGUUGGCAUUGACAACAUGCAGUGCGGCGAGCUCGAUCUACUUGGUCACAACACUUGUGUUUGACUUGCUCCAAAGUUUCUCCAUGAAUUCUUCCACAUAAGCUUAUAAGAUGAUACAAUAAGAGUAGAAAACAUCAAAAUUGAUAUAGAGAUUUAAGUUUAGUUCAUGUUCACUACCAGUUCUACACAAGACAGGUUGCACAUGACAAAAUAUUAAUUCUACAAGUAAGCAUUAGGUUAACUAGUCGUCAACCCGUGCUUUCGCACGGGCUAGCUUAUUUUUAAAUAGACAUAUAUGUGUUAUAGUUAUAUUAACCUUAGUUAGAGGCACUUAGAAAUGAAAUGGAAAGGCAAUGAUUAAACUGACAUGUAGAGAAUUGCAAAAUUUAUCACAAAUAUGUCAUCGACCUAUUUUGCAUCCUUUAAAACUACAGUCUUUUGAAAAGAACUUUUAAAAUAAGGCUUCACUUGGGUUACACUCUCGAGGGUGUUGCAAAUAAUACCAUCAUUUUCCUACGGUUCAAACAAACAUAGCUCAUUACCAUAGGAUCCAAGAUGAUAAUGAUAUCAUAGUCCUAUGUUUUUUUCUCUAUGAACUUUUCAGAAUGUUACGAAUAAAAUAGGCUCUAUUAAUUGUUUACAAUAAAUCUAAUCAUAAAACUAUGAUGUGCCAAAAAUGAGAAGAUAUGGAUUAUCACAGUGAUAGGUACAGAGCAUCAAAUAAUAGAUAUAUGUGAUACACAAAUUAGAAUGAAUGAAUGAAAAAAAUAAGGACUAAUCUACCGUACCAAAGGGCAAACCCGGCUUCUAGAGUAAGACAAUGAAAAUUCAUGCAUUACUACGAAGCCAUUUUAACUCAAAAACAAUCAGCUAGACUUCAUGGGUAUUGCACAUGAAUAUAAGAAUGACAAAAGAAUGGGUGCUGCACCGUGAUUAUUUUUCUCGGAAAGAUUCCCAGGGAGGCAGGAUGGAUCUUUCGGCUCCUGGGCAAGGGGCGUCUACUUAGGCCCCUGCUCAAAAAUGGCCAGGCUCAUCAGUGAAGGACGAGGACAAAGGUUUGGCCACAGUGAAGGGAAGGGGGAGGGGAGCAGCACCUGCGCGGCAGUCGACCCACCUCAGCCGUAGGCGACGACGCGCGCACCGGAGACGAGGAUAAUGGACUCCACCUCGGCCUCCUGUGGCGCUGGCCAGCCACCGGAGGCUCGUCGGAACCCCAACCCUCAUCGGAANNNNNNN
rnacentral:lncRNA from 1 species